rnacentral:rRNA from 1 species
GAUGAACGCUAGCUACAGGCUUAACACAUGCAAGUCGAGGGGCAGCGGGAUUGAAGCUUUCUUCAAUUGCCGGCGACCGGCGCACGGGUGAGUAACGCGUAUCCAACCUUCCGUACACUCAGGGAUAGCCUUUCGAAAGAAAGAUUAAUACCUGAUGGUAUGAUGAGAUUGCAUGAUAUCAUCAUUAAAGAUUUAUCGGUGUACGAUGGGGAUGCGUUCCAUUAGGUAGUAGGCGGGGUAACGGCCCACCUAGCCAACGAUGGAUAGGGGUUCUGAGAGGAAGGUCCCCCACAUUGGAACUGAGACACGGUCCAAACUCCUACGGGAGGCAGCAGUGAGGAAUAUUGGUCAAUGGACGAGAGUCUGAACCAGCCAAGUAGCGUGAAGGAGGAAGGUCCUACGGAUUGUAAACUUCUUUUAUAAGGGAAUAAACCCUCCCACGUGUGGGAGCUUGUAUGUACCUUAUGAAUAAGCAUCGGCUAACUCCGUG